UUAUAUUCUAUAAAUACAGUUGCUGUUUCCUAAUGAAACCACUGUAACUUAUCAACAUAAAGCAAGUGAAACCAUGGCGAAAACAAGUUCUCUAUGUUUCCUUGGAUUCCUUUUCGUUCUGAUUGUUCUGAGUUCUAGCGGAGUGAAUGGCCAAUGUCAAGAACUUUGGGACAACGUUAGCUCUUGCGAGCAUUGCGAUGCCUUAUGUACAGAAAUAUACGGAGAAGGAGCUGUGAUUUACGAUUGCGGAGAUAGAUUUAAGGCUGGUCAUACUUGCGUCUGUUGUCCUCCACCAUGAUAAAAAUCACGAGUCGGCGGCCAUCUCUGGGGAUCAUGAAGAGAUAGAAAAAUGACAACAACAGUGUUAACUCUUUCCUCAAUUAGCAUCAUGGUGGAGCGAUUGUUUUCUGUUUUUAAUUUGCUUGCAGUGAUGUUAUUUAUGAGUGAUUUUGAUUACACAUCGCAGUUUAAUUUUCUA